UGCAUGUAAACACUCACUAGAAAUGCUACAGCUACUUCAGUCCUGCUCUAAGAAAAUCUUCCAGAAAGACUUUGCUACCAAUGCAAAAAUCCAGGCAGAAGCUGUGUAACUGUGAGAGCAAAGGAGCUGCAGUAACUCACCACUCCUCCCUGGCCAAGGACUUCUCCCCAGCGCAUCCCCAGAUGCAUUUCAGCCAGCAGUGCCAAACCCUUUGCCAUCACCUUUGGCAGCUCCAAUCCUAGAGGUGCCACAGGGGUGGCUUCUGUGCAGAAAUCCCCAGCUGCCAAAAGGCUUCUAGGAGCCUUGGGGAAAAGGAAAGCCCACAUUUCUCUCUGGUAGAUUCCUAUAUAUGUCUCCUCUAGAAUAAAUGACCGUUCAACCACUUCCUUUUUGCAUCCCUGUGUGAAGCUGGAACUCCUUCCUCUUCAGGAAUACCAUGCCAUUUGGCAAGCCAGUGAAUCUCUGCUUUUGAUUGUUUGGGUGCAAGUCUAUCCCACUGGGCCAUCUGCAGCCUGCCCAGGCAUUUCCUUGGGCAGCAGGGUGAGAAAGUGAACAACCACCUUUCUACACCUAUUCUUUGAAGGAGACAAGUGUGUAAGCAGAGUCAGAACACAGGUGUACUGAGCUUCUUUUAUCAUGAUUCUGCGCAUUCACAUGAGCUACCUUUAAUUUUAGAAGUUGAUAUUUGCACUGCUCCCUGUGAAGCUGAAACAAUCCUGAGUUGCUGCCAUAACUGGCAGGAAAUUUUUCCAAUAGAAAAUAACAUCAAGCACUUAUUUCAUUCCUCUGCCUUCCCAGACCCAUUAGAUCCCAAGUUUAGCAGAAACAUUGCACACAACUCUGUGAUGAGCUGUAGCAGAAAUAUCAGUCUUGGUAUGGAUAGAGCAAAAGUGGAAAUGUGUGGAUGUGGGAGAACAGGAAGAAGUGGAAGAAAAAGCCAUGAAAGAAAAGCAAGCGUUAAUGGCAUCUAAAUUAGUAGAUCAUAAAGUCUCUGGCACAACUAUCUGCAGUUUCUAUUUACAGAAACACCCAGACUGAGAAAAACAAAGGACAACCUAAAUACAACAGCCUACACCCAGAAAGAGACUAAAGAGCAGUGAGUUAAUCAGCAGUUUUACCUAAUGACUCACACAGGUGGGACAAAAGGAGAGACAAACACAUAUCACGGUAACUUUUGAAAUGUGUAAAAGACACGUUCACAAGCCAGCCACAUGGCUGCCAUUAAUAAGAACAACCCAGAAGACACUAUGAGAAUAGCGAGCUUCCCCAACUCUUUGUGACCACAAAUAUUUUUGGACAGACCACGUGCAGACACACCUUGAAGCUUCCCGAUAGGAAAGAAUGAGUAAAACUAGGAGGAGGAUGCCUGUGCUGUGCCUGAGUGAUACCUGGCUCGUACAAAAUAAAACUACUUUUCCUUCUUAA